rnacentral:lncRNA from 1 species
GCAUCGGCUUGCAUAUCUACAUGGACUUGGUCAGUUCCAAUGGACACAAGAAUAAUAUUCCAGGUAUGCUUUCAAUUCAAAGUUAUAAAUCACUGAGAAAUUUUUAGGUUGAUAUUCUAAAACGUUAUCUUUAUUUAUUGAAUUUAUUUUUUUAAUAUGUAUUUUUUUUUUUAUAAAAGUCCAUGGAUUGCUUCAAAUGUAUCUUAAUUUCUUUGCAGUCGUAUUUACUUUUUUUACACAAUAUAUUAAAAUAUUUAUGUUUUAGAUAACAUAUUAUAUAAUAUAUAUUAUACAAUCCAUGUGUUUUACAUGUGGGUCUUCUGAGCAAAGAUAAAGUUUGAAAUUACAUUAAAGAUCAUUAAAAUAUAGAUUGAAAAGGAACAAACUUAUAAUUUUUCAAUAUCUUAUUCAUAAUAUAGUAUAUUCAAUGAUCUUGAAAGAACUAUGAAAUAAAUCAAAUACAAUUAACGUAUUUCAUCCGGUUAAAUAUAUAGGAAUGAAUAAUAAAUGUACGUAACACAUAAAUAUGUUUUGAUGGUCUAUUAAAAAGAAAAGAAAAAGAAAUAUAUCUGUUUGCUACUGAUUUUGUACAAUGUCUGUAGAUUUCUAUAGUGACAAUAUUUCUCGAAGAGAGACUAUUUAGCGUUCUGUCAAAUCUUGAUUGAACUGUUAAAUUUUAGACGGAGAGCCAACAAAAACAAACAUUUAAUCAUUAAGUAAUUAUAAAAAAUGCUGACUGUCACAUAUAGAUAUUUAUAUAAAAAAGAGAAUGCCUUCAAUUUUAAACAAUCUUCACCAAUAUGAAUAAAGUCUUCUUUCAAACACACAAAUAAGUUCCUAGAAUUGGAAUAGGAACCAUUCUAGAUAAAUUAAAUAAAAAAAGAAGCCCAUUAAAUCAAUUAAAGAAUUAAGGCCACUUUAUCUUAUAAAUGCAUUGAACCUUAGUGUUAUCUUUUAGUCGUGUCUGGUAUACAUGUAUUAAAUAAGAGUCGUCUCUUUUGGGUCUUAAUAUUUUGUUUGGUGAUGCUUUUGGAGAGCAAAAAAAUAAAGGGCCUCAUAAGUAUCAAAACUUUGACAGUGCAUAUGCAUACACAUAAUAUAUGUUGGUAAACACAAACAAACUGUAUAAAAAAAUGCAGUAGUUGUUACUUGAAAAUUAUAUAAAUUGACAGACAAAACAUUCAUUGUUUUGAAAAAUGUAUAAAUAUUUAUAUGUGCAAAAUACAUCAUUUGAUGUGUGAUACAGAAAAUUGGCAGCUUUGAAAAAAUACUGUCAUUGGGUAUACAAGAGAGUCAGUUUGGGGUCCUUCAUUAAAAUGGCAUUUGUAACUUAAAAAAAAAAACCGCUUUUCAGCCUAAAAAGAACUAAUAAGAAUUAUCAUAUAAUUAGAUUCAUCUGCAAUAACUUGAUUUCUUUAUUCUGUGCAUAGUUAAUUUAUGUUAUUAUGUUUAUUGAAUAACCCUAUUCUUAAAUUUUUCCACCGCUAUUCUUUAUAUUUUUGCAUUCUAUUAUUCUCUAUUUUUGUUAUGCUCAUUUUCUUUUUACCGUUUUUUCUCUAUUGUGUAAACCCCAGCCAGACCCUUAUACAUAUUUACCAUUUACUGCAAAGGUUUGACAGAAUAAAGAUAUAUAUACAAGAUAUUGCAUAUCAUUGCUGAAGGGCUGUCGGUUUGCGAGUGGGUCGCCAGCUCAGAAACACUGUUUGAAAGCACAAAAUAGCCAAAACUGUCACAAAUUAGAUUUGCCAGCUUUAUUUCUUUUAUAUAUCAAUAUGUACAUAAAAAGGAUUUUAUAAUUCUUGUUAUUACUGAUAUCAUUUACUCACAGUUAAUGUUAGAUAUGUUUAAGAUGAUAACCAUGCUAAUAUCUUUUAAAACAAGGACCUAUCAUUAUUUCUCCACGACUUUGACUUAUUACAGCAUUAUCCAUUUUAACAGAAUUUAUUCAUGAAAUAUUUUGAAUUUUGAAUUUUACUAUGUUCAGAAGAUAUAUUUCCUUUUAUAUUCAAAAUAUGAAUUGAAGGAGGUGGUGUACCUUUGUGUCAAUAAGACACUAUAACCUUAUGUACAGCACAUUAGCGAAGAAGAAAAAAACAGACUUCAGAUUGUGUUUUAUAAUUAAACCAUCGCUAUAUAAUAUGCAUUAAUCUGAUAAACGGUUAUUUUCUUAAAAGUAACAUUUACAUAGAAAUAAUAAUUAUGACAAUAAUCAUAAUAAUAAUAUUAAGAGCUGCUCCCCCUUUCAGCCCCAACCGAAUUUCGUCAGUACAGAGACAUUAUACUUGAAAAAUUUCCAAGAAAAUGAAAAAGUCAAUUAUUCAAAAAAAUAAAAUAAAAUAAAAAUUACAUCAUGGAGACAUUUAAGUGCAUGUAAACACAGUAAACGUAAGUGCACACUAGCUGCCACGUGUCAGACGAAUUUCCUUAAAAAUCUAGAGUAGUUAAUGUUUUUCUAGUAUUUAAAUAUCACAAGUGAAAGAUUUAUUUAUUCAAAUUUGUUUGUGAAAGUUUUUCAAUAUAUAUUAAAUAAAACUGAUAAACAUUGAUAGGCAAACAUCCUUAUAGUUCAACUUAACCAAUGAAACCUCUUAAAAGAUCAAGGUGACAUUUUGAAUAUUAGGUAUAGAUUCCUGGGGUUCGACCAUGUUUUUAUUAAUAUAUUGACAUUUAAUAAAAUAACGUUAAAGGCAUCUUAUAUGAGCACUGAUUUUAAGAAUUUUAAUAACGGCAAAAUGCAGACAAUAGCAUAAUUUUUCAGCAAUAGAAAAGACAAAGCACAACAGACGAAAUAAUUAUGUAUAGUAAUACACAGCUUUACUAUUAUGUUUUUUUUUUUAAUAUUCAUUUAAGGGGGGUGUGUGGAACUUUUUAUUACUGAUUAUCUUAUCUGAUCGGAUUAGCCAAAAUAUAAAUGAAGAAUACAACAAUCGUGAUAGAAGAGAGAAUGGAUUAGUGUGUUGUUGCGCAGUGGCAAAUAUUUUAUGUUUUUGUCGGGUUUAUGAUGGUCAAUAUGCAUACAUAUAGCCAUCCAUUUAUUAGAAAAGACCAAAAAUCUGAAGUGUUUUUUUUCUCACUGGUGUGCUGUACACAAGAUUGUUGAUUGGUGAAUUUUGUAUUUUGUAACUGUUGUCCUGUUUUCGAUUUAUGAUUUGAUAAAAUACAUAUAUACCAUACUUCAAAAUAUUGAGGGAAAAAAAAAGAAAUUGCAGACAUGUAGCUAACAAAUCUGUCCUAUGCUAAGACAUGUAUUCAUGAUUAUGUGUUGGCUGUUCUUAAAGCAUCUUCUCAGCGGCACAUCAUUUAUUUUUUUCUUAUCUUAUUGAAAUAAUGGGCUUUAUAAACACCAUAAGUAUAAAGUUCAGGAUUUGAUAACUAAUUUGUAAUAAGAUUUUACAGUCAAACUUCUUGACUGAAUUUUGGUUGGUAACAAAGUCCAUAACUUAAUAAUUUAAUCAGAUACACAUACAUUACUUUCAAUGAAAUCUAAAAAGUCUCUUUGUACACUAAAUAAAACAUAAAUAUUAAAAUAUGAGAUAUAUCAUGGCGAAAAUUGAUCAUAAAAACACACCAAAGGAAGGCAACAUGACACAAUUUUGAAUUUCUUAUAUACGGGCCGCUACUUUAUAAAUAUCUUUGCGAAAUGAUUAAACUCUAUGAGUAUAUCAUAUAAACUAGAGUUAUUAUCUUACACCUUAAAAGGCGUUAUUGACCUUUUAAGAUGUUUAUAUACUAUAGUGCAAACAUCCUGGUCUGUUGCGUUGAACAAUUGAAAGGUUAGACUAGGUUCACACACUUAUAAAACCAACCAUAUUAUCGUUCGAUAAUUUUAGAGAUGCCUGCUGAUACGCCAGACGGUAUAUAAUAAAAAAAAAAUGGGUUAUCUUUCCUAAUUUUCAGAAAAGUUUCCGAUAAAUUUGAUAGAAAAAUUUACUGGCGUUUAAAUCAUUUAAAUCUCGUAAAUUUAGUUGAAAUAUACAAAUCAAGAUAAAAAAAACAGUACUUUUUUCUCUAUUCUUUAUCUUUUGGAAUUACUUUCUCUAUUUUUAUUUUUUUUGCCCAUUUUUCUCUAUUAUUUAUAGUUUACCACCCAAUUAUUCACUCUUUUUUGUGCCUUUUUUUCUCUAUUCUAUAAAGCUUUCGCUGACGUCUUUACUACAACAUGUAAAAAUUAGACGAUGUAUGGCAUGAUUGCCAACGAAACCGUUACAAGAGAUAAAACGAAGUGGUAGUAAGCAACUGAAGGCCACCUUAGUUGUUUUUGUACAUUUUUCUUUAUCCUGUAUAAACCCAAGGUUUUUAAAACCAACAAAGAAAAAAGUUAAUAGGUCCAAAAUUACUUUUUUUUUUCAAAAUUGAUGAAAUAAGAGAGGUAAGCCUGUAUUUAGAGGCGUUAUUAGAAGGCCGUGUGUCCCCUUAUUGGGCUGCAUGUAUAUUUAAUGCACUAGACGUUUAAGCAAGCCACCACUCCUAAGUUGCCUUAUUGUUGCCCUACUUUUUAAAAUAUUGAAACCGCAUCUGAUAUAGGUUUCACUCGCCACAUAUAUAUUUAUAAAUAGUAAAUUUCGGGAAAGAUUUCUGCAACGUAGACAAAUUGGAAUUGUAUCUAACUACAAUUAUCUUGCAUUUUUGUAUCAUGGAACCUUUUAUUAUACAAUUUUUAAACUAAAAUCUAAUUAUUCCUAAUUAUAAAAAAACUUGUAUGCCCCCUUUGGUGAAUUUUGCUUUUGGUUUGAAAUCUCUGCUAAGGCAGGGAUAUGAAUCAAUCAAAUUAAGGUCAUCACUCAAGAAAUUUUACGGUCGCCAUCAUGAGCUGAUUGGCCAUUAUGACAAAAGUGUAUGAAAUCAUAUCUAAUUAGUUUUAAGCUGCUUUGGGAAAUUUUUUACUUCUAUUUUAAAUUCACGUUUGAAUAAAUUUUAUGAUGAUUUUUGUUUACUAUGUCAGAAUCAAGCUGGGGCCAGAGAAGGUUAUUCUACUACAGAUAAUUUAUUUGUUAUCUACAUGCUUAUUAGUAUCAUGAAAAAUAAGAAAAAGAAACUAUUCUGUGCAUUCGUAAAUUUUGCUAAAGCCUUUGAUACUGUUUGGAGAAGGGUCUCUGGCAUAAACUUGUAAAUGAUAUACGUAAAAUGUAUAUGUAAUUUUUAAUAUGUACACUGGUAUUAAAUCUCGUAUUGCAUAUAAUAAUACUUUUGAUGCAAUAUCGGUGUAAGACAGGGUGAAAAUAUGUCUCCUUUCUUAUUUUCAUUGUAUUUGAACGAUCUUCACAGUUUAUUGAAAAAAAAAUGUAUUGGUUUAAAUUGUAUUACUGAUGAAAAGAGAAUGAGUUUGAUAUCACUUAAAACUGUUUGUGUUAUUGUACGCAGAUGAUAAGUGUUAUUUUCGGAUAAUGCAUCCGAUCUACAGUUGCAAUUAGAUAUAUUCUUUGAAUAUUGCAGUACCUGGAAAUUAAAAGUUAACACAAGUAAAACUAAGAUUAUAUUUUUUUCUGGUGGUAGAUUACCCAAAAAUAUUAACUUUAUAUAUUCGUUGGAGAUAGUCAACGAAUUGACAUACUUUGGGUUGAAUUUUUCAAGAACAGGUAGCUGUAUGAGUGCUUAGAAAAUUUUAGUUAGAAAAGCAAAUAAAGCAAUGUAUGAAGUAUUUAAAAAGAGGAGGUUGCACAACUUUCAAUGAAUCACAAUAUGAUUCUAUUUGAUAAAAUUGUAAGCCAAUCUCCUGUAUGGUGUGAGAUUUUGGGGUUUCUUAAUACUGAUAUUAUAGAAAAGUGCACUUAAAAUUUGUACACUAUUAUAAACUUAAGGUCACACCUAAUUUUAUGAUUUAUGGUGAACUUGGUAUUUAUCCCAUGGAUGCAGGAUUAAAAUUUAUACAAAUACAUGUUCUUGAAGAAUUCUGACAAACAAUUUAGGUCAGAUUGGUUGAAAUACGUUAAAGAUACAUUAUAGGAAUGUGGAUAUAGCAAUAUAUGGUUGUCACAAGGAAAUUAAUUCUAAGUGGUUGGGUAUAAGUUUAAAACAAAAGUUAUUUGAUCAGUUUCAACAGAAAUGGAGAGCUGAUAUUGACUGUUCAUCAAAAGGUUUGGCCUACAAAUUGUAUAAACAAAAUUUUGAAUUUGAAGAAUAUCUGAAUAUUUUAAUGAUUUAAAUAAAAACAUAUUGUAGAUUUCGAACGGGUCCAUAAGUUACCCAUCGAACUGGUAGAUGGAAUAAUUGAGCGAAACCUUAGAUAUUGUAACUUAUGUCAUUGUAACGAGAUUGGUGAUGAAUUUCAUUACACUUUUGCAGUGAGUUCUUUGGCAAAUUUUUGAGACAAUAUUUGGAUACUUUUUUCUUGCACAUGUAACAUACUAAAAUUUGAAAAACAUUUCAGUAAAAUAAAAAAAUAAUUGAAAAAGCUGCAAAUUUAUCAAGGGUUAUAAUUUUUCAGUGAUCUUCCUGUUUAUCACCACUCUUCGCUACUAUACUGUAUUUUAUUUUAUUUCAUAUUUUUAUCUCAUCUGUUUGUGUUAUUAUAUACUUUUGAUGAACUUCUUGUACAUUUAACUUAUGGUGUUUGAGAAAUAAAGAAUCUUGAAUCAUGAAAUCUUGAUAUUCUUCUUCAGUCAUAAUAACCUUCCAUCAUUACCGGACUGAACAAAGAAAUAACACGACGAGUGCCGUAUACGGUGCAGGGAAUGCUAAACCCUUCCGGAGCACAUGAUUUCACUCCCGGUUUUUAGUGGAGUUCGUGUUGUUUCUUAUUUAUUAUUUAUAACUGUUGAUGUAAAUGUCUUUUGGUUUUACGAGUCUUUGUUUACUCCUUGGUUUUGAUUGUUAUUGUCCUCUUGACUUUUAUUUUUAUCCUAAAUUACCUAAAAUUGCAAAAUCUUUCUUAAAACUAUUGAGGGCCUUCCAAAAUCAUUUGUCGUUAGCUAGAUGUUCAGAAAUUAAACGCAAUUGUGUUAAAACUCUAUAGAACAAGAAUUUUUAAGAAUACAUAAUUUAAAACUUUUUUUAAAGACUUGUUAAAGAAAAAAAGGAUGAUUUAAUUCCAGUGAUUUUAUUAGUAUAAUUUUGUUUAUCGCGAGACUUUUAUGGGAUUUUCAGUCUUUAAUGUUUAGGUAAGUUAUCAUAUAAUACAUUAAAAUCUGCAAAAUUAUACAAAAUUUUAAACAUAAAUUAACUGUCAUACAAGUGAGAGUUUAAGCUAGCUAUAUUACCAGGUAUAAUCAACGAUUUACUACAUAAGGAAAUGCCUACACCAAUUCAGGGAUAUACCAGUUGUUUUUCAUUCGUUUGACGUGUUUGAGCUUUUGUCUUUCCGAUUUGAAAUUUCUCUGCAGUUCGAUAGUUUUGUUAUUUUACAUUUUAUGUUAUUUGUUUAUAUUUUACCAUAUGAAUUCCUAAAAAUUCCGUUUUGUCAAAACAAAUUGUAAGCCGUUUGAAAUAGCUAUCCUUAAAAUUUCAAUGAAAAAGUUUCUUCUUAUUAGCAGCUGCGUAUAGCAUAAAUAACAUUUCAAUGUGAAAUUUAAAAGAUUUAAUCAAAAUAAAGGAUCAUAUUUGCUCAGUUUAGAUUAUCAUUGAAAUUGGCCAUAUUUAUAUAAAAAAAAGUUUAAUGCAUAUUCAUGUCGAUGGUCCCCCUAGUAAUUUGUUUCUACAAAAAAAAUAAAUGGUAAAAAGUGAAAAAAAAUAAAUUUAAGAAACCAUAGAUCUGAUUACGGAGGGGCGAUUACUCUUAUUAUAGAUUUCUAAGGAACUAGUAUCUUAGGAUAUUUGAGAAGAGCUAUACUAUCAAUUCGUAUUUCUUUUUUAGAAGAAAUAUACUGUUCACAUAAUUGUUCUUUUUUUUCGUUUUUGUACGUAUAAAUGAUAAAAACAUUAAACCCAAAUAAUUUUAUAAUAUCAAUAAUGGAAGUUACCUUUCGUAGAAUUGUAUGCGUACGUCCCACACAGGUUUGAAUUAAAAUGACCGUUUGAAUGUCAGGGGAUGUGCCCUUAUUUUAUAGCCCCAAAAAGUUUGACCUUGAUCAGUACAUUACAUUAAACAUAGAUUACACUUUUCGAGGUAAAAUAAUCUAAAGUCAAACAUCCUUGUUUUAUGUUAAGCCAAUGGGAUUUCGUUGAAUAGCAUUUAUUGUAGAUUUGGGAAAAGGCUAAACGCAGUUUUACAGGGUCAAGGUAAAAUCAAUAAAGCCGCACCGAAGGAACAUUUUAUUGGUGAAAUAUAAAAUAUGAAGAUUUUUUUAUCAUUCUGUUUUUUCCAUUUUUGUAAAGUGAUUAUUAAUGAAUUAUUCUUUGAAAUUAUCACAAAAAUUGUAGAAUAAUUGUAUAUAUGGACGCACCAAAUAUUGAUUUCGAAAUUUAAGAAAUAAGAGUUCCUUUUUAUACUAGUUUAUUAGUAUUAAACUAAUACAAAAUUUUGUUUUAGGGGCCAGCUGAAACCCGCCUCUUGGUUUGAAAUUAUCUCGUUGUGUGGUGGCCUUGAGCUGUUUCUGCUCUUUGGUCGGGUUAUUGACUCUUUGAUAUAUUCCCGAUUUCAAUUCCAAAUAUAUAUAUGAUAAUAAUAAUAAUAAUAUGUGAGUAGAUUCAUAUUGGGAUAUAGAGAUGUCAUGUGCAUUGAUCUUUUAUUUAAUCAAUCUUUGUGUUGUUUGUUUGCUUUAUCGCUAGCGUAUAAUCUAAAUACCCGUUUAUUUAUCAAUGAUUCUAUUAUCACAAUUUCAAUGCUCUUCAACUUCGUACUUUAUUUGGCCUUUUUAACUUUUUGGGAUUCGAGCGUCACUGAUGAGUCUUUGUAGACGAAACGCGCGUCUGGCGUAUAUACAAAAUUUAGUCCUGAUAUCUAUGAUGAGUUUAUUUUCAAUUGAACUGUACAGAUAAAUAUCUUUUUUUUAAAUUUUCAGAUUCUACUUACUUUUAUAGACAUGUUGUUCCUGUUCGUUUUUCCAUCAGAAGGACGUUCAUUACAUGUAAGACACUGUCAACAACCUGACGAUAUAGAGGAGGCUUUCAAUAAUCUUAGGAAUCAAUUAGAUCUAACCGUACUAUCGAAUACAGAAAGUACAGAAAUCAUACCAUGUCCUUCUCAAACGCUGAGUCAUCAUGGUGACCCUCAAAGACUUCGCUCUACUUGUCCAUGGAUAUGGGAGGCAAAUAUAGACAACACAAGAUACCCACAAAAAAUUUACAAUGCCC